UGAUACAUCAAAAUGCACAACUCCCUUGGUUCCUCUUUGAACCCUGGCCAGUUUUGGGGGGGGAAACCAACAGGAGAAAGAGAAAACCUGAUGUUCUACUUGACUGUCGCAUAGAUUUGUUUAUUCAGUGGACUUUAGAGACCUCAACUACAAAGUGGAUGCACUGCUGUAGGGCUUCCCAAUUGCCAAGACAGGUUCUCCAAAUCCUCGCUGCAACUGGGGCACCACAACGACUGUGGAUCUGGAUGACGAGUAGGAUGUAUGUUGCUCCUAUACCUGAAGAUCAGAAAUUUAUUGCUGCCUUUGGAGAUGACUCUUCAACAAGAGACAUAUCUUGUCAAGUUGUGAACACCAAACAGGUGUGUACUGCAUACUGUGCUCUCAGAAGGUCUUCUGAUAAAGCUGGAGGAAGGCAAAGUAAUGAAAUUUAUCACCUCUUCCUGACAAACUUGAUCACAUCUGGCUAUGGAAACUUGAGCAAUUACAGGAGCUGAAACAGGAGCUUAUCAAAAUUUGAUCCAGGACUGCUUAAAAGGCUAUAACCAUGAACCCUCCUUUACAUACAGCUCUUCAUUAGCAGCAGAAUAUCCUCAACUAUUCCGCAUAACAGUAUGGAGCAUGAUGCAGAAUUUGAUGAAGUUUGCUGAGACUAGGUGUGCUCAUGCAUCACAUGGAGAAGUGGAAAUGAGUUCUCAACCAGAAUAUCUGGGUAGUUAUUGUAUUAAUGGAAAGAAAUAUGUCUUGUCUUAUCAGCAAUGUUAUUUAACUUGAGUUUCAGAGACUGCAACACUCUUUUUGUUGUGUAAUAGACAUAGUCCUUCUGUAUAGCUUGUUGAUCUUCCCUUCUUACUGAUCUUUCAGACUGAUAUCCUCAAGGAUUACACUGGGAUACAGCAAAACCUCUGGCUACAGCUCCAAUUUCAUUUGACAUGUAUGCACUAGUGCCUGGCUGUCAAAACAAAAUAGUUCAGAUAAUGAGAACAUGCAUGAUUCUGUUUUCUACUUCUGUUUACAUAAAACCAGAUUUUAUUAAAAUAUGAACAUUUGGAGUUGUAGAGCAGUUAUCUCAAGCCAAUAUGUUUAGAGAGAUGCAUUCAUUCAAAGAAAAGCUGCAGGAUGGUUCUUCUGUUUACCGUACACAAAGACCACAUAUAGGCGAACAGGAGGAUACAAUUUCCAAAGAGGAAGAAAAAAUUAUGAUGGUGUAUAAAAUCUUAAGGAAAAUAAACAAUUUGAGAACCUAAAUAGGAUUUGUUACUUCAUCUUAAACAGAAGUAUGAUCUUUCUUUUAUUUUCCUUUAUUUUACUUUUAUUUUCCUGUAUUGGUAAAUGCAUUUGUGGGAAGCAAUAAUAGUAUCCAAGGGAAAAGAAUGGGAGUUCAUAUGCUGUUAGAAAGUCUGGUGAGGAAUGUUCUAUUUUACUGUUAGGAUAAGUUGGAAGUCGAAUAAUGAAAGGAGAAAAUUGAGAGUAAAAUUGAAAUGAUAUUUGUUCUACCAUUUUAACAGCAUUCCUAAAGAUUGCUCUCAUUUUCAAAUAGUUCCACAUAAAAUCUGAUACUAAAAUGAAAGGCAUCUUGCUUUUUACAUGACCUCUAGAGGGCCUUUCCAAUCUGAAUUACCCAAUAAUUCUAUGAUUCUCUUCAUCUGAGUAACAGAAGAUCCUUAAAAUGUUUUCAUUUCUGAAUGAUUUUGGCUUUUGAACUGUGCAUAGAUAUUUAACUUGAUCAAUGCCUGGUAAUUACCAAUACAAUCUUACCACUCAUUAUCUGUCCCACUGCACUCAAUAAAACAUGUUCAUAGAAAGCUACAUUAAUAAAAAAAAACUCAAAAUCAAUACGAAAAUAUAAUCAUUAACACAUGAAAUAGAUGUUAUUACUGUUAUUACUCUAUUAUUCCAGAGACCAAGCAGUGGAUGUGAGCACACUGAGGCAGUGGGUGGUGUCUCUCCGCAUUGGCGACACUGACAGUGGGUCACCUCGACUGGUACAGAUUUUUAUGAGCACAGCAUGCAGGAUUUUGUUCAUCACUGGCAAAAAUGCAUUGCUCGUAGUGAUGACUAUGCUGAAAAAUAGUGUUUUGUAGCUGAGAAUUUUCUCUAUUAAACAGUGUUAUUGUACUCUUUGCUUCUGUUGUCGUUUCCAUGGAAAUAAAUGGGAGGCAUUACUUUCACGGCAACAUACACAAGGUAUCUAAAUAGCAGUAAGAUUUUUCCUUUUCAUGCUACGAUCUGCAGUUGGUUUACUUAGACUGCUGGGUUCCAUAGUACAUACUUGGAUCCCAUUUUACCUUCUUUUCAUACCUUCCAAUCUUUAUAACAACACUGAGUAAAGAGAAAAAGAACAUGUUCAUUCUAGGAGCAAUAUAACCGAUCUUUUAUGAUAUUACUUUAAUGUUUGCAGCUAAAAAUUGAUAGCUGAUGCAGCAUGGUGUUCCUGUAAAAUGCCUCAUUUGUUUGAAGAAACAUACAAUUGCAGUAAGGAUUAGAGGGCAACUGAAUGGUAAACUGGUUCAUAAAAUAUCAAACACGAAAAUCUGCAGUCAGAUAUCAGGUAAGACGUAAGUCUGCUUGGUCAAACAGGUGGUUAGAAACAAAUAAAAAGGAGAGGUAGAGAGAUGCAAUGUAUUUCCCUGCAUUCUUGUUCAGUAUAGCCCUCAGCAAAGGUUUCUCCUUUUUUAUGCAAGGAAUUAUUUUAUUUAUUUAUUUAUUUAUUGACACCUAAGCAUAUUGAAAAUUCAGAUCACGCAAUAGCCAUUGCGCAUCUGAUACAGUACUGGGAGAAGGUAAGUAAACACUAACUUUAGAUAGCUGUAUAUUUCUAUGCAGCUGUCAGAUAUAUUAUCAGGGAUAGUUGUAUUAUUUAUUUUCUAUAAUGCUCAACCCAGCAUAUUGUUACUCAUUGCAAUAGGUAUAUUUUUCUAGGUUAGAGGUCAUAAUUAUCUGCAAAUCACCUGUAGUUAAAGAGCUCUAGCCUUUGUAUGGGUGAGGAUUUCUCUCCUUAAUCUGUAAUUUAAGAAAGAGCUAGCAGUGGGCCUGAAUUUGAUUUUUCCUGAAAA
ensembl:lncRNA